UUCUUUCUCUCCUCUUUAGAGUAAUCCCAACCUUCUUCUUUUUUUCUCUUUUUGCUCUUCUCUUUCGCAUGAGGUUCCUUUCAAAUAUCAACAAAUAUAUAUCUUUUCUUAUCUAAAAUUAGUGUUUUGAUCCCUUCGCUUUUGACAUGGCAGAUAAAAUAUGUCUUCCAAAAAGAAAAGGAAGUGAAAGUGGAUCAACUUUUGCCCAACCAACAUAAAAGGCUAGAGUAGAGAUAGGUUCGAAGGAAUAAGCUGCUUGUAGAUGGAACCACUACAUAUGUGAGAGGUAUGUAUUACUAAUCAUGUUAUCGUGAAAACACACAUAAAUUACACUAAUUUUGUUAAUAUUAUUUUUUACCGAUUAGGGAUUGAUCAUUCAAAAAUGAUAUUGUAUUUUAUAGUUAAGUUUGAUAGGUCCAAACUGAUAAGGCUGAGGGACCAGGAAGGUGGUGCCAAUACCCUAUUUCGAUUUAAUAAUGGUUUUUCUAAUGUUAUGUGUUAAGUUUUGAGAAGGCAUCAUAUUUAUGGUGAUAAUGUAGAGAUUCAAUAGUGAUUGGACUGAUUUUAAGGGUUCAAUGGACUUUUGAAAGGCCUCCGAAGCAUUGCACUACUGCAAACAAAAAUGAAAAUUAAUAUAGUUAUUGUCUUUGUCUAAAUUUAUAUGGGUGAGUUGAUCGGGGUGAUGAUUAUACAACAGAAGGUGCUUAGGAGAAUAUCUGUGAGGGAAAGGGGAGGUGCUGAAAACUAUAUCAACUCAGACCUUAUUAAACAAGAAACAUAGGGUAGCAAAGAAUGUGUAGCGAAUCUGGCCAAUGAAAUUGACAUGAAAAAUGAAAAAAACUGAAUGAUCUAAAAAAUAAAAGUGUGUCAAAAAAUAAAAAUCCAUCACCCAUUGUUGAAAAGAAAAAUGGUGAAGAGGACUGGAGCUGUGCACUUUUCGAGGUAACUGUUACUAGUUAGCGUGGUUUGAAUAAUCACCUCCAAAGAAAGGAAUAGAACUCCAAUGAAGUAGCUUUGUGAGCAUCGAGGGUUAUAAAGACGUACAACUAGAAUAAAACUUGAACCAAGAACCUUUGAAGUAAAAAUAAGAGAUCAAGCCAAGGCGGUAAUUUCUAAAGUUAAACUUGCAUCCUAGGCCUUCUCUUUGUGGAUCUGGUUACGUCAAUUGCAGUGGAUACAAAAAGACAUGGGAUUUCUGCCCAACUUCAAACCAUUUUAUUUCCACUGCCACUGACCUGAUCAGACCACAAACAGAAGGCAUGGGAUGCAAGUUAGAAUUUAAAAAUUACCAACUUGGCUUGAUCCCUUAUUUUAACUUUAGCAGUUCUUGGUUUAAGUUUCAUUCUUGAUUGUACAUCUUUCCAACCCUCAGUGCUCACAAAGUUAUUUCCUAGGAUUUUUAUUUCAUUAUUUGGAGGUGAUCAUUUAGGCCACACUAACUAGUUUCAGUUACCUAAAAAAGUGUCUAGCUACAGUCCACUUUACCAUUUUUCUUUUCAAAGACAACUGACGAAUUUUCAUUUUGAAAUACACUUUCAUAUUUGUAGCUCAUUCUGAUUUUUCAUCUUUCAAGUUAAUAUUAUUGGUCAAAUUGGCUAGAAGUUCAUUGCUUGCUACCACAUGUUUAUUCCUUAAUAAGGUUUGAGAUGAUAUAAUCUUUAGCAACUCCCCUUUACCGCGCAUAUAUUCUCCUACAAUAUGUUCUGCUGUGUAAUCGUCUUCUCGAGCAACCCAUCCAUAUAAAUUUGGACCAAGGGAAUUUCUAUUGGUUUUGCAUUCUUGUUUACUACACUAGGAUCCUUUGAAGGCCUUCUUAAACUCCAUUACACUAUUAAAACUAGUGCAAUCACUAUUGAGUCUCUAUAAUGCCAUCAAAUAUUGAUCCUUUCUCAAAACUUGACGCAUAAAUAUGAGCAAAACUGUUAUUAAAUUAUAACAGGGUAUCGACACAUCUUAUUGGACCCUUUGGCCUUAUCAGUUUACUCUUAUCAAACUUAACUGUAAGAUGCAAGAUCUUGUUUGAAGGAUCAAUGCCUAAUCGAUAAAAAACUGCAUUCACAAAAUAAUUGUACUUUAUAUGUGUUGUCACGAUAACCUGACCAGUAAUACAUAACUCCUACGCAUGAAAAUAGAUCCAUCCAUCUGCACACCCAUUAUUCUUCCUACCCCAUCAAUGUCAAAUAGUGUUUAAUCUUCAGUUCCCAUCGCGAAGUAGUGUAUAAAACUACAGAGGCUCAAAGGAUAACCAUAUUAAAAACCUUUCUUCUUAAUCUUCUGGGAAGGGUAACAACAAUCUCGAAAACUAAAAACCUAAUAGAGAGAAACCCUUGCUACUACUGGAUUGAGUUAUUCCAAUAGAUGACCCAUCUGUUACAACAAAUGAAAAAUCUAUUGGACUACAUGCCCGUAAAAAAAAAGUGCCCCAUGUGUAAUGCACCAUGAUAUUUGUAAUAGUAAACUUAGUUUGUUGAUUGUUAUGGACUUUGAUAAUUUUAACUCAUUGUUGAGGAUGUAAAUGUUAUUAUUUAUUACAUAAAAUAUAUUUUUAUUAA